GGUUUUAGAGUGUAGCGGUCAGCACAUCCGAUUCUGAUAGAGCAUUGACUCGAAAUGCUUCAUCAUUCCGGUAACCCCGGUUCGAUUCCGGGUACGACCU